AGCCGAUUAGCUCAGCUGGGAGAGCAGCCGGUUUACACCCGGAAGGUCGGGGGUUCAAACCCCUCAUCGGCUACCA
rnacentral:tRNA from 1 species